rnacentral:siRNA from 1 species
AGGUUUUACUGUAUGUGGGCA